rnacentral:rRNA from 1 species
AGCCAUUGCUAUCGGAGUCCGAUUUAGCCAUGCUAGUUGCACGAGUUUAGACUCGUAGCAUAUAGCUCAGUAACACGUGGCCAAACUACCCUACAGACCGCGAUAACCUCGGGAAACUGAGGCCAAUAGCGGAUAUAACUCUCAUGCUGGAGUGCCGAGAGUUAGAAACGUUCCGGCGCUGUAGGAUGUGGCUGCGGCCGAUUAGGUAGAUGGUGGGGUAACGGCCCACCAUGCCGAUAAUCGGUACGGGUUGUGAGAGCAAGAACCCGGAGACGGUAUCUGAGACAAGAUACCGGGCCCUACGGGGCGCAGCAGGCGCGAAACCUUUACACUGCACGACAGUGCGAUAGGGGGACUCCGAGUGCGAGGGCAUAUAGCCCUCGCUUUUCUGUACCGUAAGGUGGUACAGGAACAAGGACUGGGCAAGACCGGUGCCAGCCGCCGCGGUAAUACCGGCAGUCCAAGUGAUGGCCGAUAUUAUUGGGCCUAAAGCGUCCGUAGCCGGCCGGACAAGUCCGUUGGGAAAUCGACGCGCUCAACGCGUCGGCGUCCAGCGGAAACUGUCCGGCUUGGGGCCGGAAGACCUGAGGGGUACGUCCGGGGUAGGAGUGAAAUCCUGUAAUCCUGGACGGACCACCAAUGGGGAAACCACCUCAGGAAGACGGACCCGACGGUGAGGGACGAAAGCUAGGGUCUCGAACCGGAUUAGAUACCCGGGUAGUCCUAGCUGUAAACGAUGCUCGCUAGGUGUGCCGUAGGCUACGAGCCUGUGCUGCGCCCUAGGGAAGCCGAGAAGCGAGCCGCCUGGGAAGUACGUCUGCAAGGAUGAAACUUAAAGGAAUUGGCGGGGGAGCACCACAACCGGAGGAGCCUGCGGUUU